GUCUUCUCGUUUAUUUGGGAAGUCUGACCUGCCCAGUGAAAUAAUUAUUUAACGGCCGCGGUAUCUUGACCGUGCAAAGGUAGCAUAAUCAUUAGUCUUUUAAUAGAAGACUGGAAUGAAGGGUUUGACGAAAUAUUAACUGUCUCAUUUUGAUAUUUUAAAAUUUAAUUUUUGAGUUAAAAAGCUUAAAUUUUAUUGGAAGACGAGAAGACCCUAUAGAGCUUUAUAAUUGAAAUAUAUAGUUAAAAUUUGUUUAAUGAAAUAAUAUUAUUAUUUUAAUUUUUUUGUUGGGGUGAUGGUAAAUAUAAAUAUAACUUUUAUAUAUUAGAAUUGUUCAUUUAUUUAUGAUUAUAAGAUCCAUUAUUAUUGAUCAUUAGAACAAGUUACCUUAGGGAUAACAGCGUAAUCUUCUUUCAGAGUUCAAAUUUACAAGAAGGCUUGCGACCUCGAUGUUGGAUUAAGAUUAUAAUUGGGUGUAGCAGCCUAAUUAAUAGGUCUGUUCGACCUUUAAAUUCUU
rnacentral:rRNA from 1 species